rnacentral:misc_RNA from 1 species
GGAUGAAAGGAACCCCUAUUCUCAAACAGGAUUUGCACUUCAGUGAGAUAAAAUUAUCUUUCUGGCCAACGGGAAUUUUUGUUACAGAAUGUCUCAAUUUGUUCGCAGUAGUCCAAGAAGAACUCGAAGGACAUGUUCUAUAAGAACCCUGCAAUUGAUGGGUUGCCAAUGCCAUUAUCUCCACCUUGCACGUGCAAUCAUCUAGCAAGCAAGAUCAUUACUUCCCCUAGAGAGCGCAAGACAAAUACGUGUAACCUAAAGAAGGGUUUCUCCGGCGAGUUUGGCGGUGACGAAUUGGUUUUCCGAGGAGAAAAGAAAAGCUUUAUCUGUUUCUUCAGAUAACAAUGCUUUCCGAAAGGGAGAGAUAGAAGGUGAGAUUUCGGAUAGGGGAAAUAGUAG